rnacentral:rRNA from 1 species
UACGUAGGUGGCAAGCGUUGUCCGGAAUUACUGGGUGUAAAGGGAGCGUAGGCGGGAAUGCAAGUUGAAUGUUUAAACUAUGGGCUCAACCCAUAGUCGCGUUCAAAACUGCAUUUCUUGAGUGGAGUAGAGGCAGGCGGAAUUCCUAGUGUAGCGGUGAAAUGCGUAGAUAUUAGGAGGAACACCAGUGGCGAAGGCGGCCUGCUGGGCUCUAACUGACGCUGAGGCUCGAAAGCGUGGGUAGCAAACAG